rnacentral:ncRNA from 1 species
CGGGGAAACGCAGGCUCCCCGCCAGACGGCCGAUACCGUCCAAGCUCUGC